AGCAGUAGCCGCGGGAAUACGUAGGGUGCGAGCGUUAAUCGGAAUUACUGGGCGUAAAGCGUGCGCAGGCGGUUCGUUAAGACAGAUGUGAAAUCCCCGGGCUUAACCUGGGAACUGCAUUUGUGACUGACGGGCUAGAGUAUGGCAGAGGGGGGUAGAAUUCCACGUGUAGCAGUGAAAUGCGUAGAGAUGUGGAGGAAUACCGAUGGCGAAGGCAGCCCCCUGGGCCAAUACUGACGCUCAUGCACGAAAGCGUGGGGAGCAAACAGGAUUAGAUACCCCAGUAGUCCCUGUCUCUUAUAA
rnacentral:rRNA from 1 species